rnacentral:rRNA from 1 species
UACGUAGGGUGCAAGCGUUAAUCGGAAUUACUGGGCGUAAAGCGUGCGCAGGCGGUUGUGUAAGUCAGAUGUGAAAUCCCCGGGCUCAACCUGGGAAUUGCAUUUGAGACUGCAUGGCUAGAGUGUGUCAGAGGGGGGUAGAAUUCCACGUGUAGCAGCGAAAUGCGUAGAUAUGUGGAGGAAUACCGAUGGCGAAGGCAGCCCCCUGGGAUAACACUGACGCUCAUGCACGAAAGCGUGGGGAGCAAACAGG